rnacentral:lncRNA from 1 species
CUUACAUUGGAUGCCCAAUUUGUUUUGCCAUUAGUAGCAUCAAUACAUAAAACUUUAUAUACAUCAUACACAAUAUUUGGUUGGUCCUUAAUUAAAUGCAACCAAUAUUUAACAAUUCUAUAUUUUCUUGAAAUACACAUCGGAAAGUGUCCGAGUUCACCACAUAAAAAAUAAACAGCUGCGCCAUGAGCGCAUGAUACGCCCGACGUCUUGUGUGGAAGUUUUAUGCAAUAAUCAUAAAUAGUUUCUGAGGAAGUUUUAAGCAAUAACCAUUUAUUGUUUUUGAGACACAGCGGGACAUGUGAAACCCCCCCCCCCCCCCCACGCUGUUUUUUUACAAAUAUCACUAAAAUAAAAUUUUGAAUCAAACCAAAAAGUAAACAGAUCUUUAAAUUAGUAUAACAAAGUAGUGUGUACAGUUUCAAGCAAUAAUCAUAAAUUGUUUUUGAGAUACGGCGCGACAUGUAAAAAAAAACCCUCCCCUUUUUUACAAAAUACUCAAUAACUCAAAAAUAAAAUUUUGAGUCAUCACCAAAAAGUAUACAGAUCUUGAGAUUAAUAUAACAAAGAAGUGUGUAAAGUUUUAAGCAAUAAUCAUAAAUCGUUUUUGAGAUACAGCACGACAUGUAAAAAAAAAACCUCCCCCUU